GCGAACAUAUCUCUCCCACCACCUGCACGGCUAAAUGCUAUGUCAUACACCUCUUUGUCAUGUGCAAUAAGCUGGGUCUUGACAUGGCCAGAGACCAGGUUUACUCUUCCCAGAACCUGUCCUGUUUCCAGACCCCAAAUAGUGCAGGUUGUGUCAAUGCUAGAAGUACCAAGGAGGUAAGGAUCCACUUCAUUCCAGUCAAACGAUGUUAGUGGAGCACAGAAGUCAGAGUUCUUGUUAUUGUUCAGCAAACACUCCAGCCGGGUCUCUGUUUCACCCACUCUCCACACACGCAGAUAGUCACCACUGGUUGCCAGCAGGUCUGGAUACACUCCCUUGGUGUCUGGGAUCCACAUGAGCUUUGUGGUGGGGUAGGGGUGAUCAAAGGUGUUCCUGCAGAUGAACUCUGAACUCUCUUCAUCCAAACCAACAAGCUGUACCUUGUUGUUGUACUCCUCCACAAAGCUGCCCAGCGCCAGGCGGAACCGCUUGUCCGGCCGCACGCUCCAGUUCAUGGCGUAUACGGUCCAGGGCGCCUCAUAUUUGUAGAUCUCCUUCCGUUUGCCGUGCAGCGACAUGGCUCGGCCGAGGGGGCCCCGCUGGGGCUGAGGGGAGCAGCGGGCUCGGCAGAGAUGGGGCCCGAGCUGAGCUCGGCGCGAGGCUGAUGGGAGCGCAGGGCCCGGCCGAGGGGAGCGGGAGGGCGGGGAGGGCCGAGGGGAAGGGGAGCGAGGCCGGAGUGGCAGCGGGGAGCGGGGGAAACCGCAGCACGGCGCCGCGCCCCCAGGCCCGGCUUCAGACCCCGGAGACGGCGAGAGAAGCGCGGAGGCCGUUCGCGAUUCGGCCCUCACACAACGGGAGCG
rnacentral:lncRNA from 1 species